GGCGUGCCACGGCCGUCUGAGUUAAGAACAUAACAAACUGAAAAGGCGCAGAUAUCUGCGCCUUUUUU
rfam:Microbacterium sp. STBG005 Ion018_assembly_c1302, whole genome shotgun sequence.